AAAGACUGCAGUUUUAAAUUGUUUAUAUCCAAUGUUUGACCGUCCGUUUUAUUUGAAAAACUUUUAUGAUUAGUAUUUUUAUUGUUAUUAAAUGAUAAAACAUUAAUAGUGUUUUAUGUGUGAUUUUUUUAAAAUUUUCAUAAUUUUUUUAAAAAUAAGAUGAACGGUCAAACGUUGGACACGAAAAUCUACAACUGCACUUAAA
rfam:Oryza punctata chromosome 10, whole genome shotgun sequence.